CUACCCUUGACUGGGGGAUAGCCCGCCGAAAGGCGGAUUAAUACCGCAUAAGACGAUAGAGGGGCAUCUCUUAGUCGUUAAAGAUUUAUUGGUCAAGGAUGGGGUUGCGUAGCAUUAGCUAGAUGGCGAGGUAACGGCUCACCAUGGCGACGAUGCUUAGGGGAGCUGAGAGGCUGAUCCCCCACACUGGCACUGAGAUACGGGCCAGACUCCUACGGGAGGCAGCAGUAGGGAAUAUUGGGCAAUGGCCGAGAGGCUGACCCAGCCAUGCCGCGUGCCGGAUGAAGGCCUUCUGGGUUGUAAACGGCUUUUCUCAGGGAAGAAAAAGGGGAUGCGUCCUCAACUGACGGUACCUGAGGAAUAAGCACCGGCUAACUCCGUGCCAGCAGCCGCGGUAAUACGGAGGGUGCGAGCGUUGUCCGGAUUUAUUGGGUUUAAAGGGUGCGUANGCGGCCCGUUAAGUCCGGGGUGAAAGCCCACUGCUCAACAGUGGAACUGCCCUGGAUACUGGCGGGCUUGAGUCCAGACGAGGUUGGCGGAAUA
rnacentral:rRNA from 1 species